rnacentral:rRNA from 1 species
AACCCUCGUCCUUAGUUGCCAUCAUUGGUUGGGCACUCUAAGGAAACCGACCGGUGAUAAGCCGGAGGAAGGUGGGGAUGACGUCAAGUCCUCAUGGCCCUUACACGCUGGGCUACACACGUGCUACAAUGGCGGUGACAGUGGGCAGCAAGCGCGCGAGGUGAAGCCAAUCCCAAAAAGCCGUCCACAGUUCGGAUUGGAGUCUGCAACUCGACUCCAUGAAGCCGGAAUCGCUAGUAAUCGUGGAUCAGCAUGCCACGGUGAAUACGUUCCCGGGCCUU